AUUGAACGCUGGCGGCAGGCCUAACACAUGCAAGUCGAGCGGACGAAGGGAGCUUGCUCCUGGAUUCAGCGGCGGACGGGUGAGUAAUGCCUAGGAAUCUGCCUGGUCGUGGGGGCUAACGUCCGGAAACGGGCGCUAAUACCGCAUACGUCCUGAGGGUGAAAGUGGGGGAUCUUCGGACAUCAAGCUACCAGAUGAGACUAGGUCGGAUUAGCUAGUUGGUGGGGUAAAGGCCUACCAAGGCGACGAUCCGUAACUGAUCUGAGAGGAUGAUCAGUCACACUGGAACUGAGACACGGUCCAGACUCCUACGGGAGGCAGCAGUGGGGAAUAUUGGACAAUGGGCGAAAGCCUGAUCCAGCCAUGCCGCGUGUGUGAAGAAGGUCUUCGGAUUGUAAAGCACUUUAAGUUGGGAGGAAGGGCAGUAAGUGAAUACCUGGCUGUUUUGACGGUACCAACAGAAUAAGCACCGGCUAACUUCGUG
rnacentral:rRNA from 1 species